ACUCUUCAUCCAAAAAUCCAAAAAAUCUAAUCACAUUUUCCUCACCAUUGCUCCUGACUUGAUUAAUUCAAAUUCAAAAUAUUUUAAUAAAAUUUUAAAAGAUAAAUAUCUAAAAAUCAAUAGAAUGUCUUUUCAAGAACAACAGAUAUUAAAGCAGGCUUGAUCAAAAUUAAAAUUCAUGUAAUAUAGGAAUAAAGAGA
rnacentral:lncRNA from 1 species